UGCCACUGAUGACUCCUUUAAAACAUUUUUCUGACACCUUCUCUGAGCGCUGCACUGCAGGCUUUGAUUACAAAUUUGAACCUGAGGCUU